CAGGCAUACAAACCAACCAAUACGCCACCUUUUAACAAUCACAUUGCAAGUUAACUCAACAAUAUGAAAAAACAUCUCAUUUUUCAGCUUCUUCCAUUUCCCACUCUCACUCGAAUAAACCUCAAAUGUGGUUCGGGACUGCAAACAUUAUGCCCACACAAAAGAUUCUCAAGAUCAAUAAUUCGUUAUGUUGGUAAUCAAAAGCCAUUCCAAUAGACGCCAAAAAGUGCAGUUCCGGACGAGGCAAGCUAUCAGUGAGCUCCACCAUCUUAUACUUCCUCAUCGCCGGAUUCCAAAGGGUAAUCAGUUCAACCCAUGGUGGACUAAAAAGGCAGAUAAAGCCAUGGCAAGGACCCACAAUGUACAUAUUGGGGAAGAAACAGGGGAACGGGCUGUCCACCUGGACAACUGAUUCUGGCGGGUUGUAUAGUGAGACUUGUUAUUCUUACAAUAACUUG
rnacentral:misc_RNA from 1 species